rnacentral:rRNA from 1 species
CACGUAGGGGGCGAGCGUUGUCCGGAUUUAUUGGGCGUAAAGAGCUCGUAGGCGGCUCGGUAAGUCAGGUGUGAAAACUCUAGGCUCAACCUAGAGACGCCACCUGAUACUGCCGUGGCUAGAGUCCGGUAGGGGAGCAUGGAAUUCCCGGUGUAGUGGUGAAAUGCGUAGAUAUCGGGAGGAACACCAGUGGCGAAGGCGACUACCUGGCCUGUUUCUUGACGCUGAGGCGCGAAAGCUAGGGUAGCAAACGGG